rnacentral:rRNA from 1 species
AUCUGUGGCCAUACUACCUUGAACACACCUGAACUUGAAAGCUAAGCAGGGUCGGGCCUGGUUAGAACUAGGAAGGGAGACCUUGUGGGUCCCCUUAAAGAGUCUCAGGAU